rnacentral:misc_RNA from 1 species
AUAGCAUCUGUAGCGGGAACUUCAUAGCUCCCAUCUACAAAACCCAGCUUAUCUUUGGCUCUCAAAGCCAGUACCAUGGAUCUACUCCAUGACAAGUAAUUUCUUCCUGUGAGAGGUGAACUUACAAGCAUCAUGCCCGGAUGGUCAGAGUUGUGCAAAUGGAAGAUAUCAUUUCCACCACUAUCGAUCUGCAUUCCAGUGGUAUUUCUGACAGUAAUACCACUACCAGUAGUAUUUUCUGCAGUUGGUGUUUCAGCCAUGGAAAAACAUGCUGAAUUGUAUUGGAUUUUAGAGAAGAACAG